CGCCCCGGCGCGGCCGGAUGUCCCUUGCGGCGGGACGGAGCGCGGCAGCGGCCGCGUGGUGCGGGCCGGGCCCGGGGCAGCUCUAGAAUUACUCUGAGGCCCGGCAAGCCCCCGAUCCCUCCGGCAGUGGAGCUUUUGCCGCUUGUGGGAUCGAGUCCUCGUGCCAGCCUUGGAGGCGGCUUGAGGAGAGGGGUCCCGCUUGGCAUCUGCCCCCUUGCCAGGUGGGGCAGGUGCAGGUCUGGGCUGAGCCGUGGGUUUGUGCCCAUGCGGGGCUCUCUCGUGGCCCGAAUUCCAUGGCUUGGCAGUUUGUGCCGAGGUCUCCAGUUAAACCCAGGACAUUCCAGCCAGCCCAGAGCUGUGAUCCAGACACCUGAUCCUGUCUGGGGCUGGGGUUGGAUCCAGCUGCUCCCAGGCUCCUCUCAGGCUUCUGGAAAGGCAUCCCUCCUGCACCCUGUGACGCAACAGAAGGGGCUUCCCUCUAAA